GAGGGAUUCUGGGAAAAGAUGGCGGGAGAGGCGGAUUCUGCCACCUACGCCGUGUGACCUUGGGCAGGAGAGUUCACCUCUUGGGGCCUAUUUCUUCCACAGUCAGAUGGAAGUCAGCGGAAGGGCUCAGAGACUCAUAGGGAAGAUGAGUGAGUGGAGGAGAUAAGAAGAAGGAAUGCAGGAGCAGGGGGUACACAGGAGCCUGGCGGUUUCUUCUGCAGAAACUUCAAGGGGUUCCCUAACUCCUCUCUUCAAAGUGAACACCAGUGCCUGGGCCCUGACCAGCAGCAGGUGUGGCAGCCAGGCCCCGUCCAGCAAAGGCCUCGCAGUAGAUAAUUUGUUCAGGCUUUUGUGCUUCUAUCUUGGCUUUUCAACUUGAUCUGAUGAACCACCCCUUGCUCCACCUCUCCCCCACUUAUAUCGCACUAGAAAAUCAGCCUGAACUAAACCUCCCCAAAUCCAACAGAAUAAAAA
rnacentral:lncRNA from 10 species